UCGAAAUGGUCAUAGAACGAAAGUUUGA
rnacentral:sRNA from 1 species